UCCAUCUUCUCCACGAACUCGUCCGUGAACCCGAUUCGGCUCACAUCCAAGGAAAAGCCCUAGCUCGCCAGUCCACGUACCUCGUCCACAGCGAGCGGGAAUCCUUCUCCAGCCCUCUAGCCCGCGCCUCUCCUUCUUCGCCGCGCCGUCGGCCCUGCCCAGGUCCACCGAGAUCUCCCUCGCAAUCGAUCGGGCCAGCGACAGGGACAGCACCAAGUCGACGGCGGGGGAGCCUGGCGUCGCUCGGGAACGAGACCGAGGCCGCCUCCCUCCUGCCGGAGGCCGAUGGCUUCGCGGCGGAGGCCGGCGGC
rnacentral:lncRNA from 1 species